rnacentral:rRNA from 1 species
ACUCAAAUGAAUUGACGGGGGCCCGCACAAGCGGCGGAGCAUGUGGAUUAAUUCGAUGCAACGCGAAGAACCUUACCUGGGUUUGACAUACACCAGAAAGCCGUAGAGAUACGGCCCCCCUUGUGGUUGGUGUACAGGUGGUGCAUGGCUGUCGUCAGCUCGUGUCGUGAGAUGUUGGGUUAAGUCCCGCAACGAGCGCAACCCUUGUCCUGUAUUGCCAGCGGGUUAUGCCGGGGACUUGCAGGAGACUGCCGGGGUCAACUCGGAGGAAGGUGGGGAUGACGUCAAGUCAUCAUGCCCCUUAUGUCCAGGGCUUCACACAUGCUACAAUGGCGCGUACAGAGGGCUGCGAGACCGUGAGGUGGAGCGAAUCCCUUAAAGCGCGUCUCAGUUCGGAUUGGGGUCUGCAACUCGACCCCAUGAAGUCGGAGUCGCUAGUAAUCGCAGAUCAGCAACGCUGCGGUGAAUACGUUCCCGGGCCUUGCACACACCGCCCGU